rnacentral:rRNA from 1 species
UAAAGGCGGUAGGAUCUCUUCAC